rnacentral:tRNA from 2 species
GGGCGAUUAGCUCAGUUGGUUAGAGCACUUGUUUUACACACAAGGGGUCUGAGGUUCGAGUCCUCAAUCGCCCACCA